rfam:Schistosoma haematobium scaffold609_21, whole genome shotgun sequence.
AUCCAGCUGACGAGUCCCAAGUAAAACAAAACGCUCGUCCUGCAU